rnacentral:tRNA from 1 species
AGCUUUAUAGUGGAAAAUUAAGAUAUUAGAUUGCAAAUCUGAAGAUGUAAAAUAUUACUAAAGCUU